rnacentral:rRNA from 1 species
UAGGGAAUCUUCCACAAUGGACGCAAGUCUGAUGGAGCAACGCCGCGUGAGUGAAGAAGGUCUUCGGAUCGUAAAACUCUGUUGUUAGAGAAGAACACGAGUGAGAGUAACUGUUCAUUCGAUGACGGUAUCUAACCAGCAAGUCACGGCUAACUACGUGCCAGCAG